CUGCCAUGUAAGACCGUAAGACCUGCCUUUCUCCUUCUGCCAUGAUUGUAAGUCCUCUCCAACCAUGUGGAAUGGAGUCCAUCCCCACAAAGGACUAAGAUGGGAAGAGGUCAAGUUUAGCGUUUCCCUACAGUAGUAGAGAGGGUCCAAUCCGGGAACCAUGUUGCAUUGGGCUGUCACAUUGCUUCAUUCUCCUUGAGUCUGGCACAGCUUCUCAGGUUUUGUCUUUCUUGACCUAUGACCUUUUGAAGAAUACUGGCUAGAUAGUUUAUAGAAGAAUGUCUUUCAAUUCGGAAUUUUCUGAUAUUUUAUCAUGUCAACUUUAGGUUGUAGAUGCUGGGCACAAAUAUGGCAGAGGUAAUAUGCCUUUCUUUGUGUAUCGUUUCAGCUGGCUGGCAUAAUUUCUGAUGAGAAAUCAAUCCUUAUUUUUA